CUCAGCUCCAAGAAAUGCAGAUGUCCCUUAGUGGGGCAUUUCUUGGUGUGAGGAGACAUUCGCAAACACUCAAGGCACUGUGGGACUUGUGUUACAGCAACUUUCAGUAAAUACUUUUGUAAUUGCCCAUGGGAUGUCAGCAUUCAUGAGAUGAAGUUCCAACUCUAAAGAUGAAAGCCCUGUUUUUGAAUCAAGCACUUAAUGAGUAAGGAUUUCACAAGCUGCAAAAUCUGCCCUUGAGAAUCCCCGACAACUGAAUAUUCCAUGGCUUCCACUGAUGAUCAUGCUGUCAGUUAAGUAUUUCGCUUUUUUUAAACAGCUGGGUAUAUUUUUUUCUCUAUGAAAUCCUGUGAAGAGAGUUUGAUGUAGCAAAUUUUUUUUUUAAAAAAGGCUUGUCAUAUACCAGGAGGUAUCAACAAUCACCAAGCUGUCGUGCAUUAACUACCUGUUUCACCUCCAUUGAGGGACAUGUAUCGUGUGAAUCAUUGGAUCUAUGAAACCUGGCUGUGAUAAAUACCAAGGAAUUCUAUGCCAGUUCACAGCAGUAAGAGUGCAGAAGUGCCAGCAUGAUUCUUGAGGCUUGAGACAAGUGAAAGAAUGACCAGAGAUGACAUCAAUCAUCAAAGUUCUUCAAACCUUUUUGAGAAGACAAAAGGAGCCUAGAGGAGACAGGAACAAUAACAGUGUUGUUAUAAAAGCCUGUCUAGAAAAAGAGAGCACUGAUUGGGAGUCAGGAGAAGCAAAUUCUAGUUCCAGCUUUUACAAUAAUUUCUCUCCACUACCUUCCAGAAGCUAAUGUGCUCAAGAACUGGGCCCAGGUCUCAGCACAAGAUCUUCAUCCAUGAAAUAAUUGUAAUUUAUCACCCAGACUGAGACACUUGGGAGAGUGAAAGGGAGCUUCAUGAGUAAUUAUUCCAGAAUAGCUGGAGUAUAUUGAGACUGUCUUGGACAAACUAAAAGGCAAAAUCAUUCUACUCCCAUACUUCUAGGCUCUGGCUGAUUCUCUCCACAGAUCUCUUCCCAAUGAAAAUAUCCUCCUCUUUGUAGCAUAUUUGUACUUCUACUGAAUGAUAAACGAUUAUAUGCAUUCCUUGUUUUUAUGUAAGAAAAUACAGUU